GAUGAACGCUAGCUACAGGCUUAACACAUGCAAGUCGAGGGGCAGCGGUAUCGAAAGCUUGCUUUCGGUAGCCGGCGACCGGCGCACGGGUGAGUAACGCGUAUCGAACCUGCCUCAUACUCGGGGAUAGCCUUGCGAAAGUAAGAUUAAUGCCCGGUGUUUUCAGAGUCCCGCAUGAGGCUUUGAACAAAGAUUUAUCGGUAUGAGAUGGCGAUGCGUCCCAUUAGCUUGUUGGCGGGGUAACGGCCCACCAAGGCAUCGAUGGGUAGGGGUUCUGAGAGGAAGGUCCCCCACAUUGGAACUGAGACACGGUCCAAACUCCUACGGGAGGCAGCAGUGAGGAAUAUUGGUCAAUGGGCGGAAGCCUGAACCAGCCAAGUAGCGUGCAGGAAGACGGCCCUCCGGGUUGUAAACUGCUUUUAGUUGGGAAUAAAACGGGGCUCGUGAGCCCCCUUGCAUGUACCAUCAGAAAAAGGACCGGCUAAUUCCGUG
rnacentral:rRNA from 1 species